CAGACCCAUUUGUGAAAAUAUCAGUUGAUGGAAGUGGCCAAGUAUAUUCAACAAAUGCGGUGAAAGCAACAUUAGAUCCAAAAUGGAAUACACAUUAUGAUCUGUACCUCUCUAAGGGUGAUGGCAUCACAAUCAGUGUUUGGAACCAACGAAAAGUGCACAAAAGACAAGGAUCUGGUUUUCUUGGUUGUGUACGUAUUCAACCAUCAACAGUACACAAAUUAAAAGAUACAGGCUAUCAAUGUUUGGAGCUAUGCGAAGAGAACCUUGGAAAAGCUUGCGGAGUUCGUGGCCAAGUUAUUGUGUCUCUG